UAGCGUGACCACGGUCGGGCCAGCCCCGUUUGGAAGACUAGUGAUUUUGUUGUUGUGUCUCUGUAUCCAACAACAAGUCCCAGUCUGCCACAUGGUGCUGGUCAUUUCAGCAGCUGUGUGGG
rnacentral:pre_miRNA from 7 species